ensembl:lncRNA
CAAGGGCCCCAUCAAGCCCCAGGGGCUUGGACUGCAAGGGCCUUGAUGAGGAUGAGCCUUGCUGGGAGAAGACGCAGUGGUCCACCUCGACCCCCGGAGCAGUUUUCAGGUCUCAGUGCUGCCAGAGGUGUCCGCCAGCUCUCCCUUUGGAUUGGAAAAUGCACGGAACCCUGCUUGCUGGGGUCAUGGAAGUGCUUUGGCAGAGUUCUCAAGGGCCAGAGAGGAGAAGACUGCUUACCGAGCCUCUCAUAGAGCAGCAGGGAACACUGGGUCUGCUGGUGGGAAGACUCGAGAGUGGAUGGCCCCCUGGAGUCCAGUUGCCAAGUGAGCUUAGGACAAGGCCACGGUCUGAGGCUGGGCCUGCUGCUGCUGCUCAUCUCCUCCUGAGCCCCCAACGAGCAGGGUACAGCUCUGAUGCAAGUGACCCCAGGCUCCGCGUCUUUGCAUGGGGUAGCAAGUUUGGACCUAGCAGGACGUGCUUCGAGAGAGAAGUGAUAACGAACUACAGCAACUAUUUUGUGGAAACCCAGAUGGACUCAGGAGUCUCAGACUCAAAUGUGUUUGUGAGUCAACGACGGCCCAUGAAAAUGCAGAUUCUUGGGCCUGGCACCUCCCUCUCCUCGCCCCCAACCCCGGAACUUCUGAUUCAGCAGGUCUGGGGUGGGGCCCAAGAUUCUGUAUUACUAAGAUGCUGCCAAGUGAUGCUGGCCCCAUAUCCAGGCUGAGCAGUUUAGAUCUCUGCUCCUCCAAGUACGGCUCACAGCCUCAGAGCAGCAGCAGCAGCAGCAGCAGCACAGGGGAGC